UUUUUUUUUUUUUCCUCUUCAGGGCCACACCUGUGGCAUAUGGAAGGUCCCAGGCCAGGGAUCAAAUCAGAGCUGCAGCUCCCAGCCUACGCCACAGCCACAGCCACGGGGAUCUGAGCCAUGUUGGUGACCUCAACGCCGGAUCCUUAACCCACUGAGCGAGGCCAGGGACCAAACCCGCACCCUCAUGGAUGUUAGUCACCUUCUCAACCUGCUGAGCCACAACAGGAACUUCCAUAAAAACAGUUUUUUUAAAGGAAAAGGGCUAUCUAUCCCAGCAUCCCAACCAACCAAGGGGUCACGAAGCAGCGGACUCACAGUGGCACGUGGGUCUCCGGGAGCAGAGAAAAAAAACAGACUCAAGUUUUAUUAACUGUCACCCAAGGGUACGCAAGAGGUUUCACAAAUAAUUAAUCUUCGUUGGAAAGGUUUUGAAAUAUUCCAGGUAGUGGACAAAAAGGCCAGGGAAGGAAAAAAGUCAACACGAACACCUCACCGCACCUAAAGGUCCACACCAAGGAAGGAAGGGCGACCCCGGAAGACAUGUCGUCCGGAGUGUUUCUACCGGAUAACUCUAGGGGGGCAGGUCCCCAAGACAGAGAGGACUCCGGUCAUCAGGAGGCCGAAGGCAGGAGCGAUGUCCCUUGGUUUGGAGGAACCAGGACCUGCUUCUGACAAUCCAUUUUGGUUCCUGCCUCAUACAACAAAUUUCUGCUUAAUUGCUGUUUUGCAUUUCGUUGAGACAUCGGGUAAACAGUACUUAAGUGUUUCCAGACAAAAACAAUAACUCACUAAUGACUAAGGCCCUGCUAAUUAAAAUGCCCCCGUGAUGGCGUGACUGGACUCAGAGCCACCACAGGGAACAGAAGUGCCCGGGCCUUGAAUGCACCAACCAGAACGCGGACGUAAGGGGUGGAGGUCACGAUGGCCCUCUGGUUGCAGACAAGGGAGCCCCUUACAGGAACUGGCGGGGAUGGGGAGAGUGGGAGGAGCUGGCAGGGGAGGGGAGGGCACAGGGAUUUGUACAUUCUAGAACCUGGCAUGGCCCUCAAGACUAGAGUGCCCAUGAUGCCCGGAAGAAAAGAAAACAAAUAAAAUGCAUGUGCCAUACCCUAGAAGGGGAGACACCAAGAGGUGUUAAACUGACCUGAGAAGAGACCACACUUCUCCUGCAGAAGAGGGUCCAAAAGCCGAAGUUUCCAACUACACUUUAAAAAAGAGAAAGGAUUCAGCAAGGGGGAAACGGAGGUAAACGAUACCACCCGCUCUGCGCCAAAGCACCAGUUUAACCAAACGAUCAAGAUUCCCAAGUGCUUGGGACACAGAAAACUUCUCUCCCUCGCAAACAGGAGAGCAAAAUAACCAGCCUUCCCCUUAACAGAAGGCUGCUUCUCUGCUCUCUGCAACUCUUGGUCCAAAGACGAGGCCUCCCAACACCACGUAUUCAAUCUCCACCUUCAAAACCAAAAAGAAAAGAAAAGAGGGCGCCCAGAGUCCUGGGGCUGGCAAAGGACCUUCUCUUGCUCCCAGCGGGUUAAAGACCUGCUAGUUAGCAAGGAAGAGGGUGGGGACAGUCGUUGAAACCACAGGGGCCUAAUACCCAUUUGUAUUCACACUCAGACCCUUUAGGGAUAUAAAAUCGGAGAGGUUGAACUGUUUACAUUUACCUAAUGCUCAAGUAAACAAAUCAGAGCCUGAGUGGUGGGGUUUCCGGCAGGGCGAGGGCCAGACCCCCUCCUGCGCAGGGGAAGCAGAGUGCGGCGAGGGGGAGGGGGCUGCCGAUGUCAUUCCCGUCACUUCUCAGGGGCUGAGGCCAGUGUCCGCCCCACCCCCAAUUCUCCCCACCCCCAAGCCUGCGCCCUCCUUGACCCCAUGUGGCCCAUCUAGAGUCCACCCGCAGAGGAAGCUUCCAGAAAAGCGCAAGAGGCCCCCUUGCUCAGGACUGCGGGUGUGCACAGAGGAGCAAGGGACUGGCAGACUUGCCCUCUUUUGGCACAGACCAUCGGUGCCAAAGCAGGGAGACAUCCCUCCCUGGACAAGGUCGGCGGCCACCAGACAUCACCUGGCCUCCCCCAUCCCCACCCCCCAGGCAUGCCUGGGCCUCCACACCCCCCCAAGCGGCCCUGUCAAGAGCACAGGGGAAAAGGGGUUAAGCACUCAGUGUCAGCCCGAGGGAGAAACUUCCCUCUUUCCAGGCACUCCCCCCGCACCCCGCCCCCCACCCGGGGAGGGGGGUGUCCUCGACAACUAUUGUCACCCAAGAGAACUGCGUCUCAGAAGAGACACCCUCCCCCCCACACCCACUUCCCCCAUCACUGGUGGUGGCAGAAGCUGUUUGCUGUCCCAGUGCAAGGCCUGACCGUAGCCUCUAAAACACCAACAGUUUCAACUUGACUGGGGGGAGGGGGGCAGGGGGGCUGGCACGCCUUUUAAAUGCAGAUUUGAACUCUUCACCCGGGGUCAGACAGCUGCGCUCCUCCAGCCCCAACAGAGGCCGGCGCCGGGGCCACUCAAGCUCACACUUUCACAGUUUUUUUCCUGCCUUCCCAGGAGGCCAGCCCAUUGAAGGAAUCAGAUGCCUCCCUCCCUAAAACCCCAAACCCACACCCGCCUCUCGGCUUACCAGGGGCAUGAACCCCACUGUCCCCCUGGAGGCGGCAGCCCUCGGACCGGCCGGCCAGCUGGCUGGGUGGGUGGGUGUGUGGGUGCCCCGGGCACAGCAAGGGUGCAAGAGGAUGGUUAUCACAUUCAGACGAAGGGACGCUAAGAGCAAUAGUGAGAAAACCCUCAGACUUAACCGCUGCUCUGCAGGAAGGCGCAUCCUUGGUGGGACAGGGUUUACAGGUGCUCUUUCUGCCAGCAGAAACCAGGACUGCCAUCCCGGCUACUCGACUCAUCAGGGCUGCAGCGUCAGGACUUAGAACCUCUAGCUCUGAGACGUCACUUCAGGAGUGAACAAGAGAAAAACAUGAACAGCCUUGAAUUAAAAAACAAAACAAAAACAAAACAAAAACCAGUCUAGGACGAGGACUUCUUGCCUCCAUCACAUAUCCCCCCUUCCCUUAUCCUCCUGUGCAAGGCGGUUUCUGAUUCUUUCCUUGUCACCCUCUGCCCCUCCCUUUCUCCACCUUCAACCAGAGAAGCCCACUGGCCCUAGAUGGGGAAAGAAGGCUCCACCGGUUGACAUUAAGAUAAGGUGAGAGGUGAGAAAUCCAAAUAAACACUAAGGGAAGAGCGAUGGGUUUUUUGGGUUGCUGGGAUUGGGGACCAGGUCAACGGCUGCACCUGGGCAGCCCUGGAGCCUCCAAAAGACAAGGCCCUCCAAGCAACACGGCAAUCAACCCAGGCCCACUGACUAGGAGGCCCACGUGGCAUCAGAGGACAGGGCACUGAUCACCCACGUGUCUCAGGUCCUGAUUCAGGCCCAUCCUGCCACAGACCAAUAAGCUACCACCAACAGGUGGUUUCCAGAAGCUCCCUGCAGCCUGCCACCGACUGCACAAAUAAAGAGGGGGUGACGCAUAGAGCCUAAGACUGUUGUCAUAAACACACCUGAAUUCACUCAAGUGGAGGCGGUCCUGCCGUGUCCCCUCCCCCGGGUGUGGCCCACUUUGCUGCACUUGCUGCUGUUCUGUGUUUGAAUGGCCUUCGAAGUCAGGUGGGUCCCUCCACCUCCCACCUGGGUGCCAAGAAACAGUUUACAAAACGUCUGCACAGCAGCAUCAAAUGUUUGCCUCCUCCUCAUCCCAUGAGGGUGUCAGGGGACUCAGACCAUUUUUUAUAGAAGAAGCUGUAGAGAGAUGCAGCCCAUGCCCCUGGACCCCAGGAAGUGGAAGCAGCCAGUUACAAGAGACAAUGGGCAGCUCAGGCUCUCUCAAUAGGAUACCUCAGAAGAGCUCAGGGCACAUCCUGAAAUGCCAGCCCUGCCCCUUCGGAGAGGUGGCCACCAGCCCCCCAGGGCUUCUGUGCCUACGAAACGGGGCUGGUCCGAGAUGAGACGUGCUCCAAGGACCAAGUACACAUGGGCUGUCUGUGAAAGGUGCAAAGUGUCUCAUUCAAAGUUUUCUUGAUAAUGAGUAUGUGUUAAAAUGGUAACGUUUCAGAUAUACUGGGCAAAAGAGAACAUAAUUAAAAUUCACGUCACUGGCUUUUUUUUAACAUUUUAAUGUAGCCACUAGAAAAUUUUCAAUGAUUUAAGUGACUUCCAUACUACGAGGGGGUGCUGUUCUAGAACCUUAGUCUGUGGUUCAAUUUCAGUCUCAGGAGUUAGGUGUUCUUGAGCAGGACGGAGGCAGAAUUCUCUGGUCCGCUCUCAACAGCCCCCUAGAGCUACAGCCUUCCAAUUGCCAAGUGAUACGUCUAAUUGGGUUGAAAAAUCUUAGAAUCCAAAUCACUUAUACCUGCAAUCUGGCCAUGGGUGGGGGGGGGGGUCAGAUGUGCGUCAGAAGGCGGACAAGGCCCGCGGAGUGACACACCCUCACCCAAAACGGUUGUCAAUUACUGCUAAGACCCAUUGUUUGCUUCGAAAAACAGUUAAGUUGUUUAUUGUGGUUUAAUACAAGGAUUGAUUGCCCAUUCCAAGGCUCUGCCUCCUACUCCAGCUGGAUUUCUCCCUAUCAAGGGCAGCGUCCUCUUCUUUUAACAGCCCUUCCCAUAAAAUAUGCCCAGCAGGAGGCCGGUGGCCACCCACCCCCAACACACACACACACACACACAAGUGAGCAGGGAAGGGGGGGCAAGGGGCAGGAGAACACAGACGUGGCCCCUUUCCUAUUAGACAGCGCCUGUCCCAUCACUAGGGAUCACAGGCCAGUCUCAUUUCUCCAUGUAAAUGAACUUUUUAGCCACCUCCUCAAAGAAGAAAAGCUGCACAGAUGCGGAAGGCCCAUCCUGGGGCACACAAUUACAGCCAUUUGCAUUCCUCCAGCAGCAGGAUUAGCAGAGGAAUGUGCUUUGCAGCUUUGUGGGGGGAAAGGAGUUUAGGAAGAAAGGAAUGGGGGGUGUAUUUCUCCUGGGUCCGUCCGUCCAUCCAAAGUUCUAUGAUACACUUCCACUCCUCUGAGAGUCAGAGAGUGGAAAUAACUCCUGCUCAGGCUUUCUAAAGAGGGGGAAGGUUGAAAAGGCGGGGGGUUGGGGGGGGGAGCGGAGGACCGAGUGUAUUAGAACUGCCCCUCCUGGCGCUUUGAUCCCCUCGGUCGCUAGGAGAAACCAACUUUUCUCCUUGGGUUAAUCAAAACCAAAUUACUCAGGAAUGUGGCAGGACAGGUCUGAGCUUCCAGGUCCCUUUGUCUUUGAGGAUUUAAAAUGAAAAAAUAAAUUUUUUAAAGCAGAUGGCAGGGGCUUACAGAGAGGUAACUUGCAAAGUCUGAAGGAACCUUAGACCACAUCCCCCUCCCUCAAAAUAAGUAACUAGAUAAAUAAAUCAAGAGACCCACAAGCCUACUCCAGUCUAGGAGUCAAGAGGUUAUUUUUGUAUAGGUCCAAAACUCAGCAAAACUUCCUAUUUUAUCCUGAUUGAACCUCAUGAAAGAACUCCC
rnacentral:lncRNA from 1 species